rnacentral:misc_RNA from 1 species
GAUGAAGAACGCAGCGAAAUGCGAUAAGUAGUGUGAAUUGCAGAAUUCAGUGAAUCAUCGAAUCUUUGAACGCACAUUGCGCCCCUUGGUAUCCCGAGGGGCAUGCCUGUUCGAGCGUCAUUUCACCACUCAAGCCUGGCUUGGUGUUGGGCGACGUCCCCUUUGGGGACGCGCCUCGAAACGCUCGGCGGCGUGGCACCGGCUUUAAGCGUAGCAGAAUCUUUCGCUUUGGAAGUCGGGGCCCCGUCUGCCGGAAGACCUACUCGCAAGGUUGACCUCCGAUCAGGCAGGGAUACCCGCUGAACUUAAGCAUAUCAAUAAGCGGAGGA